UUAAUUGAAGCCAAAAUAGAGGCUUUUCAUUGUUAAUGAAACUAUUGAUUUAUUUAAUCCAAUUAAA
rnacentral:tRNA from 2 species